UCACGAGGGCGCGUGUGGGAUGCUGAGCUGGUGAAACCGUCUCUGUGGGCCAAACAGUCAGAGGACUCCCCUUCCUAACGUUAAUCCUCUCCGUAACGUUGCAAGGAAAGCACGAAGCUCCUGCUAACUUCAGAUUGGCCCCGUCUCCAGGCUCAAUCUGUGCAACACACUUGGCUGCCUCAAGGAACUGGUUUAUUGGAGCAAGACCCCCUUUGGACUCUUUCUGGCUUCCCAAUCUGCAAGUGGGACAUGAGCCCCAGCUUUUGCAUCCCGCUUCCCUGCUUGUCCCUGGAGAGAGAAGUCCCUCAGCAUCAGCUGAGCAACAAGUGUCUGAACACACCAUCAGAAGGAACUAGGUAUACUAAUCUCUGCUCUGAAAUCUCUUGCUCCCCUCUCUUCCUGCUCUCUUUAAAGUCUAAAGCUGUUCUCUAAGGCCAUUUCUCUGGCCAGCCUUGAGUGGAUUUAAUUCAGAUCAAGCUAAAAUGUCUCUUUGUGAGCUCCAAUCUAAUAUUAUUGAUAUUAUUAGCCUGGUUAGUUUUGUUAGUUAAUAUUGUGUUGCUUGCUAAUCAAGAUUUCUGUAUCCCUAAAACCCUAAAUAAACCUGACUGUAUUUGA